UACAGAGGUCCCAAGCGUUGUUCGGAUUCACUGGGCGUAAAGGGUGCGUAGGUGGCGUGGUAAGUUUGAUGUGAAAGCUCAGGGCUUAACCCUGAAAUGGCAUUGAAUACUACUGUGCUGGAGGUUUGGAGGGGGGACUGGAAUUCUUGGUGUAGCAGUGAAAUGCGUAGAUAUCGGGAGGAACACCUAUGGCGAAGGCAGCUCGCUGGGACGUUACUGACGCUGAGACGCGAAAGCGUGGGGAGCAAACAGG
rnacentral:rRNA from 1 species